rnacentral:rRNA from 1 species
AUCUAUGGAUGAAAGCGGGGGAUCGCAAGACCUCGCGCGAUUGGAGCGGCCGAUAUCAGAUUAGCUAGUUGGUGGGGUAAAAGCUUACCAAGGCGACGAUCUGUAGCUGGUCUGAGAGGACGACCAGCCACACUGGAACUGAGACACGGUCCAGACUCCUACGGGAGGCAGCAGUGGGGAACUUUGGACAAUGGGCGCAAGCCUGAUCCAGCAAUGCCGCGUGCAGGAUGAAGGCCUUCGGGUUGUAAACUGCUUUUGUACGGAGCGAAAAGGCUCUCUCUAAUACAGGGGGCUCAUGACGGUACCGUAAGAAUAAGCACCGGCUAACUACGUGCCAGCAGCCGCGGUAAUACGUAGGGUGCGAGCGUUAAUCGGGAUUACUGGGCGUAAAGCGUGCGCAGGCGGUCUUGUAAGACAGAUGUGAAAUCCCCGGGCUCAACCUGGGACCUGCAUUUGUGACUGCAAGGCUGGAGUACGGCAGAGGGGGAUGGAAUUCCGCGUGUAGCAGUGAAAUGCGUAGAUAUGCGGAGGAACACCGAUGGCGAAGGCAAUCCCCUGGGCCUGUACUGACGCUCAUGCACGAAAGCGUGGGGAGCAAACAGGAUUAGAUACCCUGGUAGUCCACGCCCUAAACGAUGUCAACUGGUUGUUGGGUCUUAACUGACUCAGUAACGAAGCUAACGCGUGAAGUUGACCGCCU